rnacentral:rRNA from 1 species
UGGGGAAUAUUGGGCAAUGGGCGCAAGCCUGACCCAGCAACGCCGCGUGAAGGAAGAAGGCUUUCGGGUUGUAAACUUCUUUUAUCAGGGACGAAGCAAGUGACGGUACCUGAUGAAUAAGCCACGGCUAACUACGUGCCAGCAGCCGCGGUAAUACGUAGGUGGCAAGCGUUAUCCGGAUUUACUGGGUGUAAAGGGCGUGUAGGCGGGAGUGCAAGUCAGAUGUGAAAACUAUGGGCUCAACCCAUAGCCUGCAUUUGAAACUGUACUUCUUGAGUGCUGGAGAGGCAAUCGGAAUUCCGUGUGUAGCGGUGAAAUGCGUAGAUAUACGGAGGAACACCAGUGGCGAAGGCGGAUUGCUGGACAGUAACUGACGCUGAGGCGCGAAAGCGUGGGGAGCAAACAGG